rnacentral:rRNA from 1 species
GGAGGAUCAUUACAGUGAGAUUCAGGGGGGUUAGAUGCCGCCGGUGCCUGCGAGGGCAUCCGACGUGCGCGCCUCCCGUUUUACUAGUCCCUUUACACAUCCCGUGCACCUAUUGCGGUGGGACCGCCAUCUGCGAGGACGCUCGCGGGGGUGUCCCUCCCCUUAUAACACACACACACAUGUCUGUCCAAACGCAUGUCUUUAAGGCCCCACGGGGUCGGUUGGUAAAUACAACUUUCGACAACGGAUCUCUUGGCUUUCGCAUCGAUGAAGGACGCCGCGAAAGUGCGAAACGUAAUGUGAAUUGCAGAAUUCAGUGAAUCAUCGAAUCUUUGAACGCAUCUUGCGCCCCUUGGUAUUCCGAGGGGCAUGCCUGUUUGAGUGUCGUGACAUCCCUCAACUGAACCCUUCCUUCUUGGAAGGGUUGCGGUUGGAUUUGGACGUCUGUGGCGGGUCUGUCUUACUUAUCCGUCACUCGUCUCUAAAUGCAUUGGUCCCUUGGGCGAAGCCUCGGUCGGACGACGGUGUGAUAAUUGAGACGUCUUGUCGUCUAGCGCUGUCAGGGGGCCGACCUUUGCCUGCGGGGGGCCGUAUAACGAGUCGCUUCAGUGCCAUCUGACCUCAAAUCAGGUAGGAUUACCCGCCGAA